rnacentral:rRNA from 1 species
CCUACGGGAGGCAGCAGUGAGGAAUAUUGGUCAAUGGGCGCGAGCCUGAACCAGCCAAGUAGCGUGAAGGAUGACUGCCCUACGGGUUGUAAACUUCUUUUAUAAAGGAAUAAAGUGAGGCACGUGUGCCUUUUUGUAUGUACUUUAUGAAUAAGGAUCGGCUAACUCCGUGCCAGCAGCCGCGGUAAUACGGAGGAUCCGAGCGUUAUCCGGAUUUAUUGGGUUUAAAGGGAGCGUAGGUGGAUUGUUAAGUCAGUUGUGAAAGUUUGCGGCUCAACCGUAAAAUUGCAGUUGAAACUGGCAGUCUUGAGUACAGUAGAGGUGGGCGGAAUUCGUGGUGUAGCGGUGAAAUGCAUAGAUAUCACGAAGAACUCCGAUUGCGAAGGCAGCAUACCGGCUCCAUACUGACGCUGAGGCACGAAAGCGUGGGGAUCGAACAGGAUUAGAUACCCUAGUAGUC